AGCGUGACACCCCUCUCCUCUAAGCUUCUAGGUACUUUCUCCACUCCUCCCACUCCCUUCCAGAGAAAUAAACGCAGAGUGAGAGCACCUCAUCUCGCCCCCAUCUUCCUUCUUCCUCCUUGCCGGCCGAGAGAACUUCAUCGUCGCCGCCGUGUUUCUGUGAAUCUCCGGGAACGCACAUCUCUUUUUGGAGGCCCGGAGCGCGGCCGGCGUCGUCGCGUCACCCAAGCUUCCAGUGUUCCCGACGUUCCAGGCCGAGAUACUGGGUGGUGCUGCUCAUUCUAGUUCAUCUUCCAUCUUCCUCCCAGAUGUAACACCGUCAAGAAUCACCCCAAGCCGAGCUCCAGGCGUGGAGAACGCUCGCCUUCUUUCCUCAGCCCCGAUCUAGACCCGUUGGCUUUGUUCCUCCCUGUCCGAUCUAGUCGUUCUCGGGUCGUCAUCGUGUUUGUUGUGUUGCCGGGCAUCUCCAACGCCGUCGCUGCUUCCUGGACCUCUCCGACCCCUUUCAGCUGCACGAUUCCGGAGAGUAACGAGCCAUAUCCCGAGGAGGAUAGUGACUACCCUCAGCAGCAAGGCAAGC